UGCAAGUCGAGCGGUAGCACAGAGAGCUUGCUCUCGGGUGACGAGCGGCGGACGGGUGAGUAAUGUCUGGGAAACUGCCUGAUGGAGGGGAUAACUACUGGAAACGGUAGCUAAUACCGCAUAACGUCGCAAGACCAAAGUGGGGGACCUUCGGGCCUCAUGCCAUCAGAUGUGCCCAGAUGGGAUUAGCUAGUAGGUGGGGUAACGGCUCACCUAGGCGACGAUCCCUAGCUGGUCUGAGAGGAUGACCAGCCACACUGGAACUGAGACACGGUCCAGACUCCUACGGGAGGCAGCAGUGGGGAAUAUUGCACAAUGGGCGCAAGCCUGAUGCAGCCAUGCCGCGUGUGUGAAGAAGGCCUUCGGGUUGUAAAGCACUUUCAGCGGGGAGGAAGGCGUUAAGGUUAAUAACCUUGGCGAUUGACGUUACCCGCAGAAGAAGCACCGGCUAACUCCGUGCCAGCAGCCGCGGUAAUACGGAGGGUGCAAGCGUUAAUCGGAAUUACUGGGCGUAAAGCGCACGCAGGCGGUCUGUCAAGUCGGAUGUGAAAUCCCCGGGCUCAACCUGGGAACUGCAUUCGAAACUGGCAGGCUAGAGUCUUGUAGAGGGGGGUAGAAUUCCAGGUGUAGCGGUGAAAUGCGUAGAGAUCUGGAGGAAUACCGGUGGCGAAGGCGGCCCCCUGGACAAAGACUGACGCUCAGGUGCGAAAGCGUGGGGAGCAAACAGGAUUAGAUACCCUGGUAGUCCACGCCGUAAACGAUGUCGAUUUGGAGGUUGUGCCCUUGAGGCGUGGCUUCCGGAGCUAACGCGUUAAAUCGACCGCCUGGGGAGUACGGCCGCAAGGUUAAAACUCAAAUGAAUUGACGGGGGCCCGCACAAGCGGUGGAGCAUGUGGUUUAAUUCGAUGCAACGCGAAGAACCUUACCUGGUCUUGACAUCCACAGAACUUUCCAGAGAUGGAUUGGUGCCUUCGGGAACUGUGAGACAGG
rnacentral:rRNA from 1 species